UCUGAAUCUCAGACUAUUUGUGAUACAAUCUUUACUCUGGGAAUAGUGAGCCAAUGGAUGUGGAUCAGAUUGUGGCUGUAUCGCCUGAUGGGGCGUUCCUCCUUCCAUGCUGUGUCUGCUCUGAUCUCACAUGACCCCUGCAAAGCAAAUGAGACCCAGACCCUUGACCUGACUCACUCAGAUCUCUGUGGCUCCCAUCAUAGCCCGGCUCCUCCCAUACUGACAUACAGCUGAGUCUGUUCACUCAGGUGCUGACUGUAGAGGGUGCUGAAAUAUCACCAAAAAUGAUGAGCUCAAUCUACAUCUGCCACUCCUGCCUCCUAAUACCAUGAUUCCUGCAAGGUCCAAUGUCCCCAUCCCCAACAGCCCUGUGCUGGAACCCACAUUAGCCAUGGCAGCAUCACUCAGGUGCACGCCAAAGACAGAGAAUAGCCAAAUUCCAGAAAGAUUUACAUUACUUCUGAAGACCCUGACAGGAAAAGGGAUCCAUGUACCUCUGGAGGCUGGAUCUGCUACCUCCCACACACACACCCUGGUGCUUAACUGUUCACAGUAUUGGGAAAACAUGAGCAGGUAGAGGGAAACCAUGCUCUGAGGGAGACAGAAGACCCAUCAGGAAUACUUUUCAUCCAUGUGUCUCAUAGAAAGCAGCUCUGUAAGCUCCUGCCAGAGCCACAGAAACCAUGGUGCAAACCAUGUUUUAUGUCUAGAAGUUCUGGAAGCUGACAGGAAAAUGUUGGGAGGGGCUCUCAGAAUAUCACCAUUAGGAGAACUCAGUCUAGGAGGCACAAGUCCAAGAGCGAUAAGGCAGGCUGCUUGCUAAGAGGUAAACUGACUAGAACCACAGCCCUCACUUUGGUUCAAAGGUGGAGAAGGAAAAACAUGCUGUGGGAUAUCUUUCUGUAUGCCAUGAAUAUGUAUUGCCCCCAUGGGUUAAGAAAUAAGCUGCUUUGGCCUAUGGCAAGGCAGAAAGGAGCCAGGCAGGAAAAUACAGGAGAGACAGAGAAGAAAGGCAGAGGUGGAGGAGAUGCCAGCUGCCACAUAAGGUGCAACAUGUCAGAAGCCUGGCAAUGCAGCAACCAUGUGGGAUAACACAGUUGUAUAGAAUUGGGUUAAUUUGAGAUGAUAGAGCUAGCUAGCCUGAAACUUAAGGCAUUGGCCAUACAGUUUGUAAAUAAUGUGAG